GAUGAACGCUAGCGGCAGGCCUAACACAUGCAAGUCGAGGGAGAAGCCCUUCGGGGCAGAAACCGGCGCACGGGUGCGUAACGCGUAUGCAACCUACCUUUCACAGGGGGAUAGCCCGAAGAAAUUUGGAUUAAUACCCCAUAAUAUUAUUGGAUGGCAUCAUUUGAUAAUUAAAAUUACGAUGGUGAAAGAUGGGCAUGCGUCCUAUUAGCUAGUUGGAGUGGUAACGGCACCCCAAGGCUACGAUAGGUAGGGGUCCUGAGAGGGAGAUCCCCCACACUGGUACUGAGACAGGGACCAGACUCCUACGGGAGGCAGCAGUGAGGAAUAUUGGUCAAUGGUCGGAAGACUGAACCAGCCAUGCCGCGUGCAGGAAGAAUGCCUUAUGGGUUGUAAACUGCUUUUAUAUGGGAAGAAUAAGGAGUACGUGUACUUUGAUGACGGUACCAUAUGAA
rnacentral:rRNA from 1 species